CCCUUAGAUGUCCUGGGCCGCACGCGCGCUACACUGAACAGUUCAACAAGUCUUAACCUUGGCCGAUAGGUCUGGGUAAUCUUUGAACGCUGUUCGUGAUUGGGAUAGACCUUUGCAAUUAUGGGUCUUCAACGAGGAAUUCCUAGUAAACGCAAGUCAUCAGCUUGCAUUGAUUACGUCCCUGCCCUUUGUACACACCGCCCGUCGCACCUACCGAUUGAAUGGUCCGGUGAAGCCUCCGGAUUGGCGCGCACCUCGGUGCCGCCGAGAAGUUGGCUAAACCUUACCAUUUAGAGGAAGGUGAAGUCGUAACA
rnacentral:rRNA from 1 species